rnacentral:tRNA from 1 species
CUUCGUCAUGGCCGUGGGCGGGCAGGGCGCCGCGGUCGCCCUGCCCGCCGGGGCCCCGGCGGCCGGCCAGGAGUUCGCCUCCUCGUUCGAAGC